UGGGGAAUAUUGGGCAAUGGGCGGAAGCCUGACCCAGCGACGCCGCGUGAGGGACGAAGGUCUUCGGAUCGUAAACCUCUUUCGACAGGAAAGAAGUCCCACAUCCUAAUAUGGUGUGGGAUUGACGGUACCUGGAGAAGAAGCCACGGCCAACUCCGUGCCAGCAGCCGCGGUAAUACGGAGGUGGCGAGCGUUACUCGGAUUCAUUGGGUGUAAAGGGCAGGUAGGCGAUCCACCAAGUUAGAAGUGAAAUCCUUUGGCUCAACCAAAGAACUGCUUCUAAAACUGAUGGGAUUGAGGAUAGAAGAGGAGAGCGGAAUUCCCGGUGUAAGGGUGAAAUCUGUAGAUAUCGGGAGGAACACCAGUGGCGAAGGCGGCUCUCUGGUCUAUCCCUGACGCUGAACUGCGAAAGCUAGGGGAGCAAACAGG
rnacentral:rRNA from 1 species